GACGUAGGGCGCGAGCGUUGUCCGGAUUGACUGGGCGUAAAGCGCACGCAGGCGGCCCGGCGCGUGGGGUGUGAAAGCUGGCGGCUUAACUGCCAGACGCCAUCCCAUACGGCUGGGCUCGAGCCCUGCAGAGGUCCAUGGAAUUGCCGGUGUAGUGGUGAAAUGCGUAGAGAUCGGCAGGAACACCCAGGGGGAAACCAGUGGACUGGGCAGGAGCUGACGCUCAGGUGCGAAAGCGUGGGGAGCGAACCGG
rnacentral:rRNA from 1 species